rnacentral:lncRNA from 1 species
CCUCUCAAGAAUCUCAAAAGGUCCAAUAAAUCUUGGGCUUAACUUUCCUUUCUUCCCAAAUCUUACAAUGCCUUUAGAAGGGGAGACCUUCAGGAAUACAAAAUCCCCGAUUUGAACUCAAUAUUUCAUCUUCUGUUAUCAGCAUAACUCUUUUGACGACUCUGAGCAGUCUUUAACCUUUUUCUUAUAAGUUGAAUUUUCUCAGUAGUCUC